GCAAACAGCAGAUCCGGCCCGUCCUGAGUCCCCAACGGCCCUGACAGGUCAUGUUGAUACUGAGCUGGUGUGUCUACCAGGCCAGGUCUGGGAAGAUCCUCAGCCAAUCAGUGUCCAUGGCCUCACCAAUAUUAAGAACAUGACGGAUGCAGAUUCGGCCUGUCCUGAGUCGCCUUCGUCUGUUCAACACACCUCUAAAAUGGAUGGGACUGAUGAAAAACCCAAGAAAGGAAGGAAAGGGAAAAGAGUCUCUGCUUUCUUCAAGAGAGUAUGGAAGGCUGCAACGCGCCCUUUCCUGUGCUGUGACACAGAUAUAGUCCAGCAAUUUACACCACGACCUGAGCCAGAGCCGGAGUCCGAGCCAGAGUCCGAUUUUGAGUCCGAAAUCCGCUGACCCUGAGUCAGUAUGUCUGCCAGGCCCGGCUCCUAAAGAGCCUAAAGAGGCUUCUGGACCCACUCGUAGAUUUGAUCUGUCUGAUUUUGAAGUAGACAACAUGAUUGGAGAAGGAGCUUUUGGCAAGGUGUUUGUGGCAUCUCACAAACUUCGUAAAAGUGAAAAGGUUGCCCUGAAGUUUAUGAACAAGCUUAAACAGGACCAAUAUCUCAACAUUGAUGGUCAUUCCACACCUGUGCUUGCGGAAGUGGCAAUGAUGCUAAGGUUGAUGAAUGCUCCGCAAUGUCCAAACAUCAUCGGAUUACACGACUGGAUUGAGAAUGAGAGCAGCUUCCUUCUCAUCUUGGAGUACCCAGAGCAAAGCCGGACUUUGGCUGAUUACAUCACAUUGACAUUGCGAAUUAGUGAAAAGCGAGCACGCCGGUUAAUUCGUCAGUUGAUCCAAGCUGUAAAGUUCUGCACUGAGCGUGGAGUUUUCCAUGGUGAUAUACACACAGAGAACAUCCUGGUGACGAAACCCCGAUUACAGCUCAAAUUGAUCGACUUUGGUUGUGCUCAGCCAAUUACCAGCGAGCCUUUCAGCAGCGAUAAUUAUCGAGGAGCCAGUGGUAUCACGCCACCUGAGGUUUUCAGUGAUCCCACAUUCUAUGCUGACCCGGCAAACAUUUGGGAAAUAGGCAACGUGCUGUAUGAAAUAUUGCAUGCAGAAUUGCCCUUUUCUGACAAAGAUUCAAUAAUGUUUGCAUCCCUUGAGACACACCCCAGGUUAUCUACAGCAUGCCAGAACCUGCUUUCCCAGUGUUUGGCCCGAUGUCCACAUCAGCGCCUGCAGUUACAUCAGUUAGAAAAGCACCGGUGGUUCAAUCCAAAGGCCCCAAAUCCUGCGCAGCAGUUAGCCAAAAGGAGAAAACACUAAAGAAGCGAGAAAGAGGAGAGCAGCAUUUCCAGAAAUUUCACAAGACUAUUAAAGUUAUUAAUUACUCCCUCAUGUCAUUCCAAACCCCUAAGACCUUAAUUUUCUUCAGUGUCAGUUCAUGACGUGUGUUGAUGAGAGCUCUGUCCUGCACUGUAUGUGUGCCCACGCUUUGUUUAAAUGAGAGGAAGUCGCGCAGGCCUCUGGGUUAAACGUCAGCAGUGCGACACACAUACAGUGCACUGGUCUCUUCUGAACAUGCGGUUUGAGGGUCAGAGAGCUCUCAGAUUUCAUCUCAAAUGUUUUAAUUUCUGUUCUCAAUAUGAACUAAACAUGAAUAUGAACUAAGGACAUGAGCUGAGUAAUUAAUGACAAUAAUGGUAAUGAAUGGUGCCUAGACCGCAGCUCUGCACAAGACCUUUGGCCACAGGAGAAAUGGUCGUGCCCAACCGAGACUGGUUUCUCUCGAGGUUUUUUUCCUUCACUUUUGUCAAAUGGUGAAGUUUUGUUCCUCGCCACUGUCGCCGCUGGCUUGCUUGGUUGGGACUUGUGGAGCUGCGCAUCGAUGGAUUUGCUCUUCAGUGUUUGGACUUUCAGCAGUGACAAUUAAACUACACUGAACUGAACUGAACUUCAACUGUGAAAACUGGACUGACACAGUUUUAAUUUACUUCUAUGUUAAGCUGCUUUGACACAAUCUACAUUGUAAAAGCGCUAUAGAAAUGAAGAUGAAUUGAACUGAAUUAAUGAUGAAACUCCAUCAGGAAAUCCAGUGCUGUCAGUUUUCUCCUCUAAAGUGUCAUCAAAGAUCUGCUCAACUAUUUUCUACCUCAUAAAUGAAUCUGGUGUUCUGUCAUAAGAGAGACUGAUUGUUUUAUAAUUAAGUGUUCAUGAUUGUUUUGUAAUGAAUUGUUCUUUGAAUUGUUUUGUGAUGAAUUGCUUUUAUAUAUUGUUAAUAAUUCCAAUAAAAUCCUGUGAAUCAAA
rnacentral:lncRNA from 1 species